CUCUCUAUCCAAAAACUUUCAUUUGUUUUUGAAUUUUAGAGAAAGAGAGAGAGAAGGAGACGUCAUCUCAUAGCACACGUUAGCUAGAUGCAUGUCUUGUUGUUUUGUUUUCAGAAGAAGAAAAAAAAGCUCACCGUUUAUCUCUGAUUCUAACCACUCGUCUUAUCAGAUCUCAUCGUUUGCUCUCGAUUUCUCAUCUCCUUAGGUUGCUCCGCUAAUUGAUUUGUACAUAGGAAGCUUAGUUAUCUACAAUUGAGAUGAUGAUGCGUUCUGUCUCACUACCACUCUCUCAUCACAAGAUCCAUGAGGCUUCUGGAUACCAUAAUAAUUCUGCUUGCAAAAAUCGUGUGUACCUGACGCGGACAGGUCUUUCAUCAUGUUCCACGAGACAAGACGUUUGGAGUCUUCAGCUUCUCGAGAGCUUGAGUGGUUCAAAAUCCCCUGUAUCAUCUAGGUGUAAUGCAUUGGUUUGCCGAGCAGCUCUCUUUCCAUGGGUUGGAAGUGAAGGCCCCAUUGUUAAAUCAACUUCAGUAAUACUCGCACGGGCAUAUGAUGCUUUACGUGGAAAUCCUCAUUUAAUGAAACUAAUUCCAGCAGUUGGGAUUCUUGCAUUUGCUACAUGGGGGCUUAGACCUCUUCUGCACCUUACCAGAACUACUUUGUUUGAGAAGGGAAAUGAUGUAAACUCGCAAAAGAGCAGCACGCAACACUUAGUUGUGUCAUAUCUUCAGCCUUUACUGCUUUGGAGUGGAGCACUCCUUUUAUGCAGAACAUUGGACCCGAUAGUAUUGUCUUCAAGUGCGAGCCAGGCUAUUAAAACGCGCCUUCUUAGCUUUGCUCGCUCCAUGUCAACGGUGUUGGCGUUUGCCUGCUGCUUAUCAAGUCUACUUCAGCAGGCGCAGAAAUUUUUUAUGGAGACAAAUAAUCCUGCCGACACCAGAAAUAUGGGUUUCAGUUUUGCUGGAAAAGCUGUUUACACUGCUGCGUGGGUCGCUGCUGCUUCAUUGUUUAUGGAGCUUUUGGGUUUCUCUACCCAGAAGUGGCUAACUGCGGGAGGUCUGGGGACAGUACUGCUGACUCUCGCUGGUCGUGAGAUACUUACUAACUUUCUUUCAAGCAUUAUGAUUCAUGCUACACGGCCCUUUGUUUUGAAUGAGUGGAUACAGACCAAGAUAGGAGGCUAUGAAGUAUCUGGCACUGUAGAGCACGUUGGGUGGUGGUCACCGACAAUUAUCAGAGGUGAUGACCGUGAAGCAGUUCAUAUUCCUAACCACCAAUUCAGUGUAAAUAUUGUGAGGAAUCUAACUCAAAAGACACAUUGGCGGAUCAAAACACAUCUUGCCAUCAGUCAUCUUGAUGUCAGCAAAAUUAAUAAUAUUGUUGCUGAUAUGCGCAAGGUGUUGUCUAAAAACCCUCAAAUCGAGCAGCAAAAAAUACACAGGAGAGUCUUUUUGGAGGAAAUAGAUCCAGAGAACCAAGCCCUUAGGAUCCUAAUAUCUUGUUUUGUAAAAACUUCACGUUUUGAAGAAUACCUCUGUGUUAAGGAAGCAGUGAUCCUGGAUCUUCUUAGAGUUAUUAGGCAUCACGGAGCACGUCUAGCAACUCCGCUUCGCACAGUUCAGAGGAUGCGUAAUGAGGCUGAGGUGGACAGUGCAGCAUUUUCAGAUAUCGUUUUUAAUCAAGCAGCUAUGAACCGUCGAUACAUGCUGAUUGAGCCAUCCUACAAAAUCAACAGCGAUGAUAACGCAAAGUCCUCCUUGCCUAACUCAGUGCAAAAAAGUGAAGAAAAGGAUCCUGAAGGAGAACCAUCGGAAUCCAAUACUGAAGCAAAAGACAACGGAUCAGUGUUGGUUUCAGAAGCCAAAAAGGAGAAACCGAAAGCAGGUCUUGAUUCCAACUCCAGUACAGGCACUAAAGGUACCAGAGCUUCAUCUUCGGAACAGCCAGCAGAACAGAAGUCAGAAGAAAAGAAGAAAGAGAGUGCCUCCGGAGAGUUGAAUAAAGCAGAGAAGGAAGACGUUUCUGAUGGGGAAGCUGCAACAGAGCAGACACUGAAACCAAAAUCAAGACAAGGAACCGAAAAGAGCAACGGAGAUCAGAAAGCUCGAGAUGGUGGUGGAGGAUCUGGUGCCAGUUCUUCUUUAGAGGAGAAUAUUGUUCUCGGUGUUGCUUUGGAUGGCUCAAAACGUACACUCCCGAUUGACGAAGAACUCGAGGCAUCUGGCGUGUUAACGGAGUCUGAAGAACUUGGUGUUGGAUCGGAGUGAGACAAGGAGAAGAUGUAUAAACUUUGUAUUCCAAGCAGCUUAGUACAUUUGUAGAAAGUAAGAAAGAAACUGAAAUGGAGAAAUGAGCGCGACUCUGUUAAUUUUUUUAUAAGCCUAGAGGUUUGCGCCAUUUUUUCAGUGUAAAUAAUCACAAGUGACCCGAAAACUUUAAGGUUGUUUGUUUCGAGUUGUUAGUUUGAAGUUCUUUUGUGUUUGAAAAAUUCAUUAUGAUAAAAUUGAUUCAUUAGCAAAAA